UACGUAGGGUGCAAGCGUUGUCCGGAAUUAUUGGGCGUAAAGAGCUCGUAGGCGGUCUGUCACGUCGGCUGUGAAAACCCGAGGCUCAACCUCGGGCCUGCAGUCGAUACGGGCAGACUAGAGUUCGGUAGGGGAGACUGGAAUUCCUGGUGUAGCGGUGAAAUGCGCAGAUAUCAGGAGGAACACCAAUGGCGAAGGCAGAUCUCUGGGCCGUAACUGACGCUGAGGAGCGAAAGCAUGGGGAGCGAACAGG
rnacentral:rRNA from 1 species